rnacentral:rRNA from 1 species
UGCAGUCGAGCGGACAGAAGGGAGCUUGCUCCCGGAUGUUAGCGGCGGACGGGUGAGUAACACGUGGGUAACCUGCCUGUAAGACUGGGAUAACUCCGGGAAACCGGAGCUAAUACCGGAUAGUUCCUUGAACCGCAUGGUUCAAGGAUGAAAGACGGUUUCGGCUGUCACUUACAGAUGGACCCGCGGCGCAUUAGCUAGUUGGUGAGGUAACGGCUCACCAAGGCGACGAUGCGUAGCCGACCUGAGAGGGUGAUCGGCCACACUGGGACUGAGACACGGCCCAGACUCCUACGGGAGGCAGCAGUAGGGAAUCUUCCGCAAUGGACGAAAGUCUGACGGAGCAACGCCGCGUGAGUGAUGAAGGUUUUCGGAUCGUAAAGCUCUGUUGUUAGGGAAGAACAAGUGCAAGAGUAACUGCUUGCACCUUGACGGUACCUAACCAGAAAGCCACGGCUAACUACGUGCCAGCAGCCGCGGUAAUACGUAGGUGGCAAGCGUUGUCCGGAAUUAUUGGGCGUAAAGGGCUCGCAGGCGGUUUCUUAAGUCUGAUGUGAAAGCCCCCGGCUCAACCGGGGAGGGUCAUUGGAAACUGGGAAACUUGAGUGCAGAAGAG